rnacentral:rRNA from 1 species
UACAGAGGGUGCGAGCGUUUAAUCGGAAUUACUGGGCGUAAAGCGCGCGUAGGCGGCUUUGCAAGUCGGGUGUGAAAUCCCCAGGCUUAACCUGGGAACUGCAUUCGAGACUGCAUUGCUAGAGUAUGGGAGAGGGAAGUGGAAUUUCCGGUGUAGCGGUGAAAUGCGUAGAUAUCUGGAGGAAUACCGGUGGCGAAGGCGGCAUCCUGGACCGACAUUGACGCUGAGGAGCGAAAGCCAGGGGAGCAAACGGGG